GGGAUUAUAUUUACUCAUAAUAUUUGAAUUGCAAUCAAAAGGUACCCUAGGGGGGUUAAUCUUU
rnacentral:tRNA from 1 species